rnacentral:rRNA from 1 species
GGUCCUUUGACUCGUAUGUGCGGCGGCGUUGUGCUGGUAAUAGAAUAUUGCAUGUGCACACUCUGGAGCUAUAUAAUAUAUACACCUGUGAACCAACUGUAGUCAGGAGAAAUCCUAACUAUGAUUACCCUAUAUAACUCUUAUUGUAUGUUACAUAGAACGAUCUCAUAUUGAAACUUUGUUUUCUGACAAGUUUCUCUUAAUUAAAAAUAAACCACUUUUCACCACGGAACCCCUGGCUCCUGGCUCCAUGAAAAACCCCACCAAAUGGCAAAAAUAAUGGGAAUUUGCAAAUCCCGUGGAUCCUCCAAUCCUUUAACCCCCCUUGGCCCCUUUGGUAAUUCCAAGGGCCUGGCUGGUUUAAAAUCCUUUAAUUUCCCACCUUUACAAUUUUUGGAAUUGGCCAGGGUUGGAUGGUAAAAUUUCUGGGUAAAAUAAAAUCCGGCCGGCUCCCUUUUAAACCAAUUAUAAGAACUUGUAAAAUGGCCUACGGUGGUGUGAUAUAUGUCUACGCCCUAUACCGAAAGGGAAUUCUAGCUGUAUGUACUACUUAUAAAUCAUGCGCAUAUAUCUAGCAUAUAAGUGCAUAUAUUGACAAUUUGACCUCAAUCAGUAGGACUACCCGCUGAACUUAGCAUAUCAUACCCGCACGAAAAGAACGCUUACGGAAAUCAAUCUUCGGAGGAAUUUGUGC